CCAGGUGGUCAUGCUGCCAGUGUAUACGGCGAAAUUCAAAGCUUCAGAGCAGCUAUGGCCUAUGGUUGGUGAAAAUCGGGAAUUCUGUAGUGUGCUGGAAGUAUGGUCGAGGCCGCCUGUUGCAAAGUUAUGCGAUAAUGCAUGGAGGAUCAUUAUAACCACUGAAGUGAUUCAUGUGUCUUUUCGUAAGGCAGUUUGUCUUGUGUGCCUCAUGCGAAGUUAUGCAAAAACACAUCUUGGAUUUUUCAGGACAUCCCAAGAGAAGACUUUGUAGAAAUAAUUGUGUUACUGUUCCAACAAGCAGUUGAAAUGAUUUGUUGACAAAUAUAAUCGGGUUUAUGUCCUAAAAUAGUUACAAUACAGGGCAGAGGCACUAAACAUUUUUUUCUUUUGGAAAAGAACGCACGAGUCUCGUAAAAGUUGUAGCAUGAUGGGCGCCAUCAAGAAUUGGUAGUGACCUCUUCUCUUAAUGAAAAAUGCGCUCAGUCGUGGUUGCUAAAAAGAAUUGGUAGUGACCUGAUCAAUUCAGAAUUCAUAUCAAUUGAGGCAGAAGGCAUGAAGUUCAGAUU